rnacentral:snRNA from 11 species
AGCUUUGCGCAGUGGCAGUAUCGUAGCCAAUGAGGUUUAUCCGAGGCGCGAUUAUUGCUAAUUAAAAGUUGAGAUAUGGGGAACUGGGCUCAGGACAAGCUGGGCCUGCUCUGGGCCUCUCUGACCUGCCACUUUGUACAACCAUGACCGUCCUCUGGGUGGC